UCCCUCCCGAAAACGUGUGAAGAGCACGGCUGAUGUUCCUCGACAGGUGCCCGGGGAUCAGACAGGUACGCUCCGCCUAAAUGCGGAGCCUCGAACCCAGCCACGUUUGGGCUCCCCGUACCACUAACGAAAACUAAAUCUCCGUAUGGAACCCCUGGUGGUGAAAAGUAGCACCAUUAGUUCUGAUCGUGGACUGACAUUUCUUUAAUUGCAUAUCACUAGCAGAUAGACGAAGGAGUCACACGGCGUGAAUUAUUCUCUGUAUGUCCAAUGCAUCUAUUCAUCACUUGUACAGUUGUAACGUAAAUCCUGAUUGGCUAUCAUCAAUUAUAGAUGACCAAUCAUAUGAAUCAAACCAGAGACUUCCCUCUUACCAUACUCAUUGUGCGAUACCUCACUCAGGCCGUUAACAAUAUUGGCAGUUAGACAAAUGUUUCGAUACCAGAAGUGUCAAUCAAUUAUUGAUAUAUACAUUGUAAAAUGUACUAAUUAACUUAAGUUUGUUUUUUAUUUGCGCUUUAUUCAGUUAAAACAACAUCAUUUAUAGCAACUAUUUGAUCUUCAAACAUUGUAGGCGCCACAGGCGGAAACGUUAAUUUAAGACUAUUCUUUUGAUUAGUGAUAUCUUGUUAAUAUACCUCGUGAUCGCGUAUAAGUACCUGCAUCUAUUGAAGCGGCAUACGAGGGUUCCAGCACGCUAUUGACAUGUGCACGGUGGCUGGUUCUACAGCGGGUUGUUCAAUAAACCAAUAGUUGUAUGUAUAGAGACAAUAAGAGCUAUAGAAACUGGUGUAGUUGUUACAAUACUUAUUCGAGCAAAACCUAUAUAAUACGUUUAACAUGUAUUGAUCUGUAAGAAGGAUUGUGAUUUAGUCAAUAUCGCUUUGUAUGGCGUACAGAAACACCAAACGAUGCAUAUGUCACAUGAUAAAUCAGAGAAAAGAUAUUAUCUUGUCCACUCUCUCUCUCUCUCUCUCUCUCUCUCUUCUCUCUCUCUCUCUCUC